rnacentral:rRNA from 1 species
CCUACGGGAGGCAGCAGUGGGGAAUAUUGGACAAUGGGGGCAACCCUGAUCCAGCCAUGCCGCGUGUGUGAAGAAGGCCCUCGGGUUGUAAAGCACUUUCAGCGAGGAAGAUCGCCUAGCGGUUAAUACCCGCUAGGAAAGACAUCACUUGCAGAAGAAGCACCGGCUAACUCCGUGCCAGCAGCCGCGGUAAUACGGAGGGUGCAAGCGUUAAUCGGAAUUACUGGGCGUAAAGCGCGCGUAGGUGGCUUGAUAAGCCGGUUGUGAAAGCCCCGGGCUCAACCUGGGAACGGCAUCCGGAACUGUCAAGCUAGAGUGCAGGAGAGGAAGGUAGAAUUCCCGGUGUAGCGGUGAAAUGCGUAGAGAUCGGGAGGAAUACCAGUGGCGAAGGCGGCCUUCUGGACUGACACUGACACUGAGGUGCGAAGGCGUGGGUAGCAAACAGGAUUAGAUACCCUGUAGUCCACGCCGUAAACGAUGUCGACCAGCCGUUGGGUGCCUAGCGCACUUUGUGGCGAAGUUAACGCGAUAAGUCGACCGCCUGGGGAGUACGGCCGCAAGGUUAAAACUCAAAUGAAUUGACGGA